rnacentral:lncRNA from 1 species
CCAUGACACACAAUCACAGCUGCCCUCCUCUGAGUAAGGACACAAUUCAGCACAGAGCUCUGCCCCACUGCUGGAGUGUGGAGUGGAGCUGAAGCUGGUAUGAAUCAGAGCAGCUGGUGUGUCUUCAGUGGACCUACCCCUGGCAACAUCUCUUGUGGGUCUGACACUGAAAUGAAGGAUAUACAGACAGAGAUGGCCAUGUAUGUGUCCUGGUAAAGGCAGAAGGGGAGCUCAGGGGCUGCAUGGGGCUCCGUCAUCAAACAAGUGGCCUGCAAGGGCUGUGAGUCCUCCUUAAAUGCUUCCUCCAGCCCUGACCCUGCUCUGCCAACGAGGAAAGUACUGCCAAAGGGUCAGGUGCAGACAGGAACACCUAUUUUGUCCAGUUACUCCUUUUUAUUAUGAAAGAUUGGAAUUACAGGUGGCGUCUGUGAAAAUGUCUGACACUGCUGUUGUCACUGCUGCUUCCAUUUGCUCUGCAGUCCCUCAGAGGAGGACAGCACACUCCAAAAGAGGAAGUAGAAGACAAUGAGGAGGUGCCCUUCCAAAAUCUCCUUACCAGAACCAAGAGCAACAGCAAAGCUAAAGAUUAACAAGCAGCAGAUGCA